rnacentral:rRNA from 1 species
UGGGGAAUAUUGCACAAUGGAGGGAACUCUGAUGCAGCGACGCCGCGUGAGUGAUGAAGGAAUUCGUUUCGUAAAACUCUGUUCUAUGGGAAGAAAAGGACUGUACCAUAGGAGAAAGCUCCGGCUAAAUACGUGCCAGCAGCCGCGGUAAUACGUAUGGAGCGAGCGUUGUCCGGAAUUAUUGGGCGUAAAGGGUGCGCAGGCGGCUUUACAAGUUGGAUGUGAAAUAUUGUGGCUCAACCACAAACGUGCAUCCAGAACUGCAAAGCUUGAGUUAAGGAGAGGUAAGUGGAAUUCCUGGUGUAGCGGUGGAAUGCGUAGAUAUCAGGAGGAAUACCGGUGGCGAAGGCGACUUACUGGACUUAAACUGACGCUCAGGCACGAAAGCGUGGGGAGCAAACAGG